AUGACAUAGUUAAAGAUAUAUUAGUGGUUUUUACAUGGAGUGUGAUUAGAUGUUGGUUAGCUUAGUGAGAAAUUAGAUUAGUUUCCUUGGUCAAUACUAUAGGUUGGUUAUUAUGUAGUUACUUUCUUACGCUCUAUAUUUGCCACAUGAUUGGAUUCUUCUACACAGCAUAUUCAUUCAUUCAAUUUUAGAUUCUCUUUUCACUUUCUCCCAAUAUACUAUGUGGCUGUUGCCAUGUCUCUCAACACUCCAUAGUUAGAAUUCAAAGUACUGCCUUUUGGCUGUGUUCAGCACUUGUCUGCUAAGGCCUAAAGCUAAUUAUGUAUAAAAACAUCUGAUAUUAGGUUUAAUCUCCGAGUGUUAUUAUCUAAUACAUGAUUGGUCAAUGGUGUGAAAUUGAAAGUCUGAUUGCUGAUGAAAUUUUCUGCAAUAUUGUGAUCAGUUUCAUCUUCAGUGAAUCUACAUCUGAAUUUUUAACCAUCAGGAAGCACUGUAAAAGGCUCUAUACCUAUCCCCGAAGGGUUGUGCUCAUGCAUUCAUGAAACACAUUAGAGAAAGAAUUUUCUAACUCUGAUGCUUAAGGGUGUUGAAGAGCUUAAUGAUGUUUGAUGCUGCCAAAGUAACUAAAAAAAUAGUCACUUUUGUAUUUUUUGAUGUAUGAAUUAUGAUUGCUGAUCCCAGAUGUUUAUGAAGUCAUGUUCUUUCUUUUUAUGAGGGAAAAUAAGCACUAUUUGAUGCACGAGUGGAAGAUUAUAAGCACUAUAUGAAGAAAUAGCACAGGUUUGGACAAUAUCUGCUAAUGGGGAGAGAAAAUUGAAAAAUUAUUUGCCAAGGCUAUGGAGAAAGUUGGCAAAGAGGGAGUGAUCACAACUGCAAUAAGUUUUUUAUCUUAUCAUCAUAUUGACAAAGCCAUACCUUCUGUUGAAUCAAAUUCUGGGUGAUGAGGCAGCAGUGCAUUAUUUUGAUGGUCUAAGAAAUUUAUGUUGCAGGAGGUAGAUGUCCGCAGAAUUCUGUAAGGUUUAUGGAACUUGCACAGUUCUCUUGUUUGGAAAAAGUCUUACCUAUGCUUCCAGUUCAGACUUGUAAUUGUAACAGUACAAAAUAGAAGGAUUUCUCUCUAGUUGUUCAGACUUGUAAGUCCAUAUUCUUGUUGCUCUAGCUGUUUGGUUUCAGAUUUCUCUAGUUGUAUUUGCUGUGUUCUGUCCCAACUAGGAGGGAUUGUUCCCAGUAACCUUUGAUUAUGAUGAAAUAAAGAUCUCUUUUGUUGUAAA